AGACGGAGGGCGCAAGCGUUGUUCGGAAUUACUGGGCGUAAAGGGCAGGUAGGUGGUCUGUUAAGUCUUCUGUGAAAAUCCGGGGCUCAACCCCGCGAAAUGCAGGUGAAACUGGCAGACUUGAGACCGGUAGAGGCUAGCGGAAUUCCUGGUGUAGCGGUGGAAUGCGUAGAUAUCAGGAAGAACACCUGUGGCGAAGGCGGCUAGCUGGGCCGGUUCUGACACUGAACUGCGAAAGCGUGGGGAGCAAACAGGAUUAGAAACCCGGGUAGUCC
rnacentral:rRNA from 1 species